GCAAAGGAUUUCUCACGUGACACGGGGUUCCUUCAUCAGCCAGCUUCAUUCCCCCACCCCAACACUCUGAGGGAUAUUUUUUAUAACUGCAAUGGCCAGAUCAAAAACAUGCAGUUAUGUUUUGGAUAAAUAUUAUCAGACCACUCCUGGAAAGCUGUAUACGUCAACUUCCACCAGCACCAACAAGCUAUGAAAAGCGCUUUGCUCACCCCAGAUGAGACCCCCGAAGUUCGGAGAGAUCACACCCAGGGUCACAUAGCUGGAGCUGGGAUCUAAACUAGUACCUGAUAACCAAAGAUGAAUAGCAGGUCAACCGUUCCUUAGAGGUAAGGAAACCACCGUCAUUUUGUUUCAGAACAUAGAUGCUGCGAAUAUAUACAUCCACUGAGCCCACUGUGCUUAA